GUGAUCACUGCUUCUUCACCAAUAACAACUUGGGCCGCACACCCGUCUUCCCCCCCACCCCUCGCUUCUAGAUGAUAAGAUUUACUGACAUAUUCAACCAUAACAUUACUCUGAGUUCCUGGCAUCUAACCCAGAGCAAAGUGUUACUUCUUUAAAAUUUUUUUUUCAACGUUUUUUUUUUUAUUUAUUUUUGGGACAGAGAGAGACAGAGCAUGAACGGGGGAGGGGCAGAGAGAGAGGGAGACACAGAAUCGGAAACAGGCUCCAAGCCAUCAGCCCAGAGCCUGACGCGGGGCUCGAACUCACAGACCGCGAGAUCGUGACCUGGCUGAAGUCAGACGCUUAACCGACUGUGCCACCCAGGCACCCCAAAGUGUUACUUCUUUAAAUCUUCCCCAAAUUGCUUAAACUAGCCUAUAUCUUAUUUAAGUAUUUUCUUCUUUUUUUAAAAAAAAAUUUUUAAUGUUUAUUUUUGAGAGAGAGAGAGAGCAUGUGCGAGGUGGGGGAGGGCAGAGAGAGAAGGGGACAGAGGGUCCAAAGCGGGCUCUGCACUGAGAGCAGUGAGCUCGACGUGGGGCCUGAACUCACAAACUGUGAGGUCAUGACCUGAGCCGAAGUCAGAUGCUUAAUCGACUGAGCCAUGCAGGUGCCCCCUAUUUAAGUACUUUCUAACACUCCACGAGGCUUCCCACAAUUCAUGGUCUGUGUUCUCACUAGUUGCAAAAAACCAGCUUGUUCAACUACAGGGAUGUUCCUGGCACUCUUCGGCUGGAAGGCGCUGACACCACCAAAGGACAGAAAAGUGCACAGAAGAAAAGCCUGGGUGGUUCGCUGGCUUGUUCACAGAGAAGUCCAUGCCACCUGCCUCUGUGUGAAGAGGUGUAAGGAGACGAUUUUCAAAGCUUCACGUAUAACUGAAACCUGCCGUGGCCAACAGAGCUGGCCCGGGUUUGGGCGUGGAAUAUGCCGACCUGCCUCUAUCAGGACGCACGCCGGAUUGGGUUGGAAUCACUGUAGGGAAGACACCUAGUGAAACACAGCAAAUAUGGUUAUCGUCUGGAGAGAGAGGACAGAUUCCUAGAGACUCCUGGGUCCAUCUGUCCCAGGAACAGAUGGGACUUCGCCACAAAGGAAUGGACAGAUGGAUCGGUUCUAAGACCCCUCCUGUGCACG
rnacentral:lncRNA from 1 species